rnacentral:misc_RNA from 1 species
CGCACCUUGCGCUCCUUGGUAUUCCGAGGAGCAUGCCUGUUUGAGUGUCAUUAAAUCUUCAACUUCAUCAGUUUUUCAUAAAGCUGUAGUGAAGCUUGGUUGUGGGGGUUUGUGCAGACAGCUUCACAGUAUGCUGCUCCCCUUAAAUAAAUUAGCGAGUUUAAACUAGGCUCUGUCUAUUGGUGUGAUAAUUAUCUACACCGUGGGUUGAGCUUAGACUUGCUCCCAACUGUCCAUCAGGACAAACCCUUUGACAAUUUGACCUCAAAUCAGGUAGGACUACCUGCUGAACUUAA